AGUGAACGCUGGCGGUAGGCCUAACACAUGCAAGUCGAACGGCAGCACAGUAAGAGCUUGCUCUUACGGGUGGCGAGUGGCGGACGGGUGAGGAAUACAUCGGAAUCUACUUUUUCGUGGGGGAUAACGUAGGGAAACUUACGCUAAUACCGCAUACGACCUACGGGUGAAAGCAGGGGAUCUUCGGACCUUGCGCGAUUGAAUGAGCCGAUGUCGGAUUAGCUAGUUGGCGGGGUAAAGGCCCACCAAGGCGACGAUCCGUAGCUGGUCUGAGAGGAUGAACAGCCACACUGGAACUGAGACACGGUCCAGACUCCUACGGGAGGCAGCAGUGGGGAAUAUUGGACAAUGGGCGCAAGCCUGAUCCAGCCAUACCGCGUGGGUGAAGAAGGCCUUCGGGUUGUAAAGCCCUUUUGUUGGGAAAGAAAAGCAGCAGGUUAAUACCCCGCUGUUCUGACGGUACCCAAAGAAUAAGCAACGGCUAACUUCGUG
rnacentral:rRNA from 1 species